GACGAACGCUGGCGGCGCGCUUAACACAUGCAAGUCGAGCGAUAACCAUGGCUUCGGCCAUGGGGAGAGCGGCGAACGGGUGAGUAACACGUGAGUAAUCUGCCCUCGACACUGGGAUAGCCCGGGGAAACCCGGAUUAAUACCGGAUAGCCUCUCGAGCUUUCGGGCUCGUGAGAAAAGAUGGCUUCGGCUUUCGGUUGAGGAGGAGCUUGCGGCGGAUUAGCUUGUUGGUGAGGAACGGCCCACCAAGGCGACGAUCCGUAGCUGGUCUGAGAGGACGAUCAGCCACACUGGGACUGAGACACGGCCCAGACUCCUACGGGAGGCAGCAGUGGGGAAUCUUGCGCAAUGGGCGAAAGCCUGACGCAGCGACGCCGCGUGAGGGAAGAAGG
rnacentral:rRNA from 1 species